UACGUAGGGGGCAAGCGUUAAUCGGAAUUACUGGGCGUAAAGCGUGCGCAGGCGGUUUUGUAAGUCGGACGUGAAAUCCCCGGGCUCAACCUGGGAAUUGCGUUGGAGACUGCAAGGCUAGAAUCUGGCAGAGGGGGGUAGAAUUCCACGUGUAGCAGUGAAAUGCGUAGAGAUGUGGAGGAACACCGAUGGCGAAGGCAGCCCCCUGGGUCAAGAUUGACGCUCAUGCACGAAAGCGUGGGGAGCAAACAGG
rnacentral:rRNA from 1 species